AUGCAGGUGCAGUGGUGCCCCGGCAUGCGCUUCAAGAUGGCGUUCGAGACCGAGGACUCGUCGCGGAUCAGCUGGUUCAUGGGCACCGUCGCCGGCAUCCACGCCGCCGACCCCAGCCGCUGGCCGCAGUCGCCCUGGCGCCUCCUCCAGGUGACCUGGGACGAGCCGGAGCUGCUCCAGAACGUGAAGCGCGUGUGCCCGUGGCUGGUGGAGCUCGUGUCGAGCAUGCCCAACCUGCACCUGCCGUCCUUCUCGCCGCCGCGCAAGAAGCCGCGGAUCCCGUCCUACGCUGACUUCCCCUUCGAGGGGCAGCUCUUCCACCCGCCGCCGCCGCCGUUCCCGCCCGGCCACCACCACCAGCAGGACCAGCUCCUGCACCACAGCUUCCCAUUCUUCCCCUUCCCGGACAGCAAUGGUGCUCCUCUCGCAGGGAUACAGGGAGCCAGGCAUGCGCAAUUCGGUCCGUCCUUUUCGGAUCUCCACCUCAGCAACCUGCAGUCGAGCCUGCUCUACGCGGGUGGCGCCGUCCGCCGCCCCGCCGCCGACCACGUCGCUCCUCGCGCACCAAGAACCAUCAGCACCGACCUGACGAUCGGCACCUCGCCCGCCCGCGAAGACGACACCACCACCACGCGCGCCCCGACAAAGAAGGCCGGCGGCGACGUCGUCAAGCCGGCGCCGACCCUGCUGCUCUUCGGGCAGGCGAUACUGACCGAGGAGCAGAUGAAAUCCAGCAGUACCGGCGGCGACGCCGCAACCUCGCCGGUGGCCGGCGGAUGCGGCUCGCCCAACUGGGACGCGGAGAAGGCGCCCAACCUCUCGGAGGGCUCCGGGUCGGGCUCCGGCGUGAUCCAGGGCAGCCCAAGCAACAACAACAACACGUCCUCCUGGAGGCUGCAGUGGUUCGGGGACAGUAGCAGCCAGGCGGCGCCGGAGCUGCUGGGGCUGGAGGCCGGGCAGUGCAAGGUGUUCGUGGAGUCGGACGCCGUGGGGCGCAACCUGGACCUGUCGGCGCUGAGCUCCUUCGAGGAGCUGUACGGCCGCAUGGCGGAGAUGUUCGGCAUGGAGUGCGCUGAACUGAGGAACCACGUGCUCUACCGCAGCGCCGCCGGCGAGGUGAAGCACAUCGGCGAUGAGCCUUUCAGCGCGUUCGUGAAGUCGGCCCGGAGGCUGACGAUCCUGACGGACGCCGGCAGCGACAACAUCGGGGGCUGA
rnacentral:rRNA from 1 species